CUGUAGUCAAUUUAAACAUAAGGGGAAAGAGCCACCAGACCAAAGGUCAGAUUUAGAGGAGACAACUAAGGAAGAAAUGAAGCUGGAAAACAUUGUAGCUACAAAAUAAGCAAAGAAUCCAGGGGCAUCCAAGUGGCACAGUGGAUUAAAGUGCUAGUCUUGGAAGUUCAAAUAUGGCAUCAGACACAUCCUAGCUGUGUGACCCUGGCAAGUCACUUCACCUCGUUUGCCUCGACCUUGUCUUUCCUUAGAAUUAUUACUAAUUCAGGAGGUAAGGAUUUAAAAAAAUUUAAAAAGAAUCUAGAAUCCAGGAGAAUAGACAGUCAAGAAACAGCCAACUGGACUAGGAUCUGGGGGAAAGGACCAGGAAACCAAGAAAAGCAAGACAGCUAGCUAAGAGCAACUCAGAUGGGAACAGAAGAUGGGUAUAGCUGAAUGAAAAACUUGAACUAUGUGAGGACUCACUUCAAGUUCUGAAUUUUAUCAUCCAACUGACCCUUUUGCUUUAGUAGGGGUAUAGCUGUGCCCAUCGCUACACUCGUUUGGAAGUUAUUGAAGGAUGCCUGGUAUGAUCCCUACAAGCCUUGAACAAGAGAUGGAAUGUUAGCAAACCUGGAGAAUCAAAGAAAUACCUGACAUUUGAAUUCAUAGCAGCAGCGUAACCUGCUUGUAGAAAAAAAGGGAAGAUAAAAUAACCAGGGUAGCUUCAGUUUUCCCCUUUUCUUUUGUGCAGCAGUCAGGCAGUCAAUCAGUCAACCUUCUUUAAGAGAGGGGUAGGGCAAUCUCAGAGCUAAUGUAAGGAGAUGCAGGGCCAAGAGCUAUCUCUUUGAAGGGGAAGUGGAAAGGGCAGAGGGUCCAGUAUCUUCUCUAAGGAAGGGGAAGAACCAGUCAGUUCCCUAGGACUGUGAGGAGUCCGGAACCAUCUUCUCCAAAAUCUUUAUAUAAAAUUCAGUUUGAGAAUGAGAAUCUAGAACAGCCUUGGAGAGAGAGAAAAAGAUAUCACAAAAGGAUAGUCUAGAAGGGAUGGUGGAGGCAGAAGCCUAGUUCCUACCAGAUUUGUUUUUGUAACAGGAGGGGUGAGGUAGGGAAGAUGUGUGGUUUGCUUCAUCAAUCUCAACUCUCUUUUCAAAGCACCAGAUCUCUUGUGUUUGAUCUCUGACCUGGGUGUCAGGUCUUGUCCAAAUUCAGGGACCUUCCCAGCUUCAAUGGCUUCUUUCUACCAUACCAUUGACUGCUGGGAUGUGGGAGUGGGACUGGGAGAAUAAUGGAGGUAGAAUCAGCCACAAAUUUUAUCCAUAAGUAACAGGAGAACUCAGUUAAUGCACAUCGCCGCAUGAAUGCAGGGAGAAAUUAGCUGGAGUCAGUUUAAAUUGGCUUAGUAAGAGUCUAUUGUUAAAUUUUUAGUGUGAGCAUUUACACCUCAGAACUUGGCAAAGGCUAUAAAUCAAUGCUUGAUUUAUUGUUUUGUUAAUUGUCUAGAUCUAGGGAAAUGAAAGAGAAAGUAUUAAUAAUGCAACUUAAAUUUGAAAGUGUGUCCUGUGUAUACUUUUUGAAGGGGAGAAAGCUCAGAGAUCUGAUUGUUAAACAUUUAUCAUCACACUGAUGAAUAAGCAAUCUAUGAUCCAGCCCAAAAGUCUGGCUUUUUUUCUGGUUCAUGAAUGAUAUCCUAUCUCCUAUCUCCAGGGAUUUGCCCAUGCUGUUCCACAUCCCCGGACUAUAUUCCUUUCUCUCAUCCCCCUCUUAGAAUCUGGAGAUUCCUUCAAAGCCCAGCUCACCUGCUAUGUCCUACAUGAGACCUUUUCUCAAUCCCACUCAGUUGUUAGUGCCUCCCCAACACCCUCAAAAUGACCUUGUACUGACUUUCUCUAUAUUUUGUAUCUAUGUAUAUGUAUACAUUGAUUCCUCUGAAGAAUAAGUUCCCUAAGAGCAAGUAGGACUGUUUUAUUUUUAUGUUUGUAUUCCCAGGGCUUAACACUAUUGCCUGGCUCAUUGUCAGUUCCUAAAAACCACUUCCAGUUCAUAUGAUUAAAGAUUCUAUGAUUCUCUUGAUCCAAUUGCCUAAGAAUUUUAAGUGCUGCCCUUCAACCUGGUGAUUAAUAAAUGCUUGUUGAUGGAUUCA
rnacentral:lncRNA from 1 species